UUUUCACAUUUUCCUUUUCCCUUUUCCAGAAUUUGCACUAAUCUUCCGUUCCCCCCAUUUACAGGUACAACAAUUUUCUUUUUUUCUUUUUCUUCAUCUGAUGGAUUUUCUAGGAUAAUGACGUGUCAAAAACUCCUAUACCUUCACACCUCAGUAUACCACAACUCGGAGAAGCCCUGGUUGUGGCUCAGAGUAGUCAAGGCCCUCCUCUAGAAGGUAACGCUGGACAGAAAUGGGAAGCCUGGCAGGAGUACGCGAACCCUUUGUAUGAUGUCCUGUUCCAACGCAAAUAUAAACCUGUAUUCGCUGCUCUGCUGAUCUGGCAGCAUUCCUCAACACAGACAGCUCACGCUUCAGGACAUGAAUCGCUUCAGUAACAUGAAGACCAUGCAGAUCUAUGAUUCUCUCUUGUCCUCUUCCAUUUCCCUGCAUCUCUGGGUUCCUUAGGCGAUAUAUAGAUUCUUGAGCCUUCCCAUGAGCUGCCUUCAUCUGCAUAUUGUGAAGUUGUCCCUUGACGCUCAGUUCUUUGGCCAAAGCCUUGUUACCAAUAAGAUAUGCCUGACGUGCCUACUCAGACAGUUACAUAUAUUAAGGAUCUUGUAGUGCGGCAUAAGAGAGCCAAGACUACUUGACAUGAUCAUAGAGAAAAUUCCUGCCACAAUGAUUCUCAAUCCCAAAAAAGAAAAAAGAACAAUGAAUUCAUCAUGUAGUGAAGCUGAAAAUCAAUCAUUCCACUGGUGAAACAUCCAAAAUAUUAUGAUAACCCUAUAAUAAGAUGGUCUAGCGAUUUGUACAGCCGUAGUAGCAUUAUUGCUAAUACACUUAAAAAUGAUUUUAUGAUUUCUUUUAAGCAGAUUUUAACCAACUGUCUCUUCCUGUACAACCUUUUGCACUUCAUAGUUGUACCAAGGAAGACUGCACAAUUUGUUUUCCUAAUCCAAAAUGUGCACACUUAAUUAUAUCCAGCAAUCAAAGUCUUGCCUUCUAUCUCACAACAGGAAAAUAGUUAACAGUAGAAUGCCAAAGAAUAUAGGCACACAAUUUUUGUAUUCAAAAUCUUUAAUUUUUCAUCUUCAUAUGUCUUGAAUAUAUUUACAAUGCUUUCUUUUUAUAUUAAGUUCAAACAAACAAUAACAGAAAAAAACAACCAUGACAGAAUUGUGUAUCUAAUGAUACUAAAUUGUUUAAGAAAAGAACAGCAAUCAA
rnacentral:misc_RNA from 1 species